GACAGCGGCCAUAGCGGCAGGGUAACUCCUGUACCCAUCCCGAACACAGAAGAUAAGCCUGCCAGCGUUGUAUACUGUACUAAAGUGCGAGAGCCUUUGGGAACUAUGCAUCGCUGCUGACUCAACUUAUUGACUUUUACUAAUUCUCUAUAUUUUUUCUUAAUUAUGCUAUCUGCAAUAUCUUUCCUCCUACUAUCAACUCGCUAGAUAAAUCAAUACCAAAUCUCCAAUUUUAUUACAGCCUGAUGCUGAAGGGAAGAUUAGAGGAAGAGGAUUUAGAUAGAU
rnacentral:rRNA from 1 species